CCUAGCAGGAGCCGGAGGCUCACGCGCGGUAUCCUUGUCCCGUCCCGCCUUGCCCCCGCACGCAGAGGCCAGAGGCACGCAGCGGAAAGCCGUCAGCACGAGCGGGGGAGAAGAGCCUCGAAGCCGCGAACAUGCAGCAGUGCCAACGACGGCGCCAAGGACGAGCACGCGGACUGAGCCACUCUUAGUUUCAGGUUAGGAGCCUGCUAGGACGGGUCUCUUCUCUCUUGGAAGCACCUGCGAGGAGACUUGACUCGCAGCCCGUGAGCGGAUGUGCAGCAGCGUCGAUCGCUUCCUCGUGCCUGUCGCAGCCUCUACAAGCCAGGACGAAGGACAGCCUGCUCCCGACGACACGGCGGAUCGCUUGCGCGGAAAUGCAGGAUCGUCCGGUCGUGUUUCGUGAGAAGGAGAAAAGUGUCGGGCAGUAGUCACAGAGCGACUGUCGCAUAUCCGAAUAAUGUCAAGAGUAGCAGUAGCAGCAGCAACAGCAACUGCAGCAGUAGUAGUAGUAGUAGUGAAUAGAACGAGACUGGUGGUGAUGCGUCAGUGAACAUUUUGAAACCGAUGAUCGCUACUGAGCGCUGAUGCGGUUGCCGCGACCCCGAUCAAACUCCGUAUAGCCUAAGUGUCAAUCGAUGUACCUGGAAGUGAGAAAGCAAGUGUUUUUUUCGCGAGUGAUCGAGCUUCAGUGAUUCGACCGAUCGAAGGCGUUUUGUAAAAAGAGAAGAAAAACGAGAAAAAAGAAAAAUAAAGAGAGCGAGAGA